rnacentral:rRNA from 1 species
GACGAACGCUGGCGGCGUGCUUAACACAUGCAAGUCGAACGGAAAGGCCCUGCUUUUGUGGGGUGCUCGAGUGGCGAACGGGUGAGUAACACGUGAGUAACCUGCCCUUGACUUUGGGAUAACUUCAGGAAACUGGGGCUAAUACCGGAUAGGAGCUCCUGCUGCAUGGUGGGGGUUGGAAAGUUUCGGCGGUUGGGGAUGGACUCGCGGCUUAUCAGCUUGUUGGUGGGGUAGUGGCUUACCCAGGCUUUGACGGGUAGCCGGCCUGAGAGGGUGACCGGCCACAUUGGGACUGAGAUAGGGACCAGAAUGCUACGGGGGGCAGCGGUGGGGAAUAUUGCACAAUGGGCGGAAGCGUGAUGAAGAAACGUCGGGUGCGGGAUGACGGCUUUCGGGUUGUAAACAGCAUUAGCCUGUGACGAAGCGUGAGUGACGGUAAUGGGUAAAGAAGCACCGGCUAACUACGUG